GUAAAACUGCAAAAUCUUGAGCUGCAAUAUGAAAGAUUAUGAUCUAAUGAUUCAUACUUCAUGUGAUGUGAGAGAGAGCAUUUACACAGGAGAUCAAGAUUAUCAAGUGGUCCAAAUAAUUAGACCCCCAAAGCCAAAUCAAGAAAUCACAUCAAACAAAUUGACACUGUUACAACCUAUAGAAAGCAAAAGGGGCAAGGUCAAAAGUGGACAUUGCAAAGCAGAUAUGAAUAUAACAAAAGCAACAGAAAGCAAAUACCCCAUUCGUUUUGCAGCUCUAAAAGCACAAUUCCUAUCUCAUUCAGGUGCGUCUGCCAUGGACUGGAGCUCUUCUUUGAAGGCAUUUCACUGAGGUCUCUCGCUUAACUAAAAAAGCAUGCCCGUGAAUGCAGUUUGAGUUUCAAUCCUGAUGAAGUUAAUGAGUAGGUGAUGCUGGAUUGCUGUAAACUUUUUCCAUUGCUGUUGAAGCAAGGUUUAGUAGCUGGUUCCUAGGUGCUGGUCUCAUUGCUGAUUCUUCACUAUAUACACUACAAUGAGUUCAUGAGUAUCUAUCAAUCAGUAUUUUGAUUCAAAUUUUGCACGGUCAAACGACAUUUCUCCAUGGUUGAAAUGAUCUGCCAAGCAAGCUUUCCAUCAGCCACAGACCAAGUGCAGCAAAAAAACACUGCUGCUAAUUUUUUUCGAGGACUAUCAAUAAUUCUGUAAGGGCAGUCAUCCUUCCAACACAAGGACACAUGAAAUGACUCCACUUGAAGAUGUUCCCCAAGAUUUUGUAUGUUCCAUCCAGGAAAAUCAGUUGUUAGUUCUGUGAAUAAUUGCUGAAGCCAACUGCAUUUAUUAGAGAGACCAAGUACAUCAUCUGCUGAGAUAUGAUCUCUUCUAGCCUCAUCUAAGUUGUCAACAUGUACAGGACAACAAUAAGCAACCUGAACCUCAUGCUGUUUUUCUCCCAACAUUAGCAGCAGCUCUUCUUGAUGCACAACCCUUGCCUUUUUGCUUUUCUCCAUAACCAAGAUCCCCUCAGCAACUCUUUCAUCAGUUACCUGAAACCGAGAUUUGCCAUUCGUCCUUUCUAAAAUUGAAUCAGAUGUAUCUUCUGAACUUUCAUUUAAAAACCUGAAAUUAGGACUCAAACAACUAUGGAAAAACAUCUCUGAGGCAUGUGCUUUUACAAAGACAGUGGAAGGAAUGCACACAGUAUCACAAUUUGCAGGAACAUAACAUUGAAUUCCCAAUUCAGACUGGAUUCUUUCUUUCAGAGAUGCCAUUUUAGGCUUUUCACCAUGUACUAAUAUCACGUGCUUAGGAGAAAGAAAUUUAACUAGAUCCAUAAUUCCUUUGGCAUCUGUAUGGGGGCUGAAAGACAAUUGAUGGAUCUGGCAUCGCACAUCAAUUUGCGUGUCCUUGUCCAAAUUAAUUUUAGUGGGUUUACCCGACAUCAAUUUAUGACCUAUGGUUCCAGCCACACAAUAUCUAGAAAAGAAAAGAGAGAAGCUACAGUAAAUUUGGAAAGACAGCUACAAGUUUACUAUUCCACUAUGGUUUCUAAAGAAAUGAGCAUGCAACAUUUUCCGCUAAGAAAAGGACUGCAGAUAUCAUAGACACUAGAAUAGAUAUAAUGGAUUCUCAAAAGCAACUAUUGCCGACUAAGUACUUGUAGUUUGUCUACCUGAAACUCUGUACAAACAUCUCAUCCAAGACACACAUCAAAAAAUACAAGGAUGAUCAUGUGAUUCAAGAGAAAACACUGCUUUAUUCUAUAUUUUCACACUUCUUUUAUUUUCUAUUUCAAAGAUCAAAGCAAAGUAAUAUUUAAUGAUGCAGCAAAUGAUUCAAUGAACCUGCAGGUAAUGUUCAACUUAUGCUCUCAUUUUGUGUGCAUAGAAAGAAUUUAAAAAAUGUCAAAACAAUAGGGGGAAAACCUUGAACAAUUUUAUGCCAUUUAUGGGCAUUUGACCAAGAAGUCUUGAGUCUUGGGAUGUUUUUUGCUUUAUUCUAAAAGAAGAUAUCGAGAACAAGCUAAACAGUAUAUAUUUGAUGUUAUAAUGUCAUAUGCAUCAAAUGGAAGUUAAAAUGCCACAUGAGACUUUGCUGUGGUAGUGUGCUUUUCAUGAUUAUCAACUGUUAGGUUCCAACUGGCAGAUGUACCAAGCAUGCUCCUAUUAAAUAGUCCAAAUUAAAAGGAGAAAAUAACAAGUUAUUACCCAGGCAAUGUUACAAGAUUCAUCUCAGAAGGAGCCCAAUGCUUAAAAACCUCUAAUGAGAAACCACCACUAAUCAUCCCAGGAGUGGCAAACAGAAUGCAUGGUCCAGGAGCAUCUAUCAUAGAGCGGUCAAAAUUACAAACUGAAACAUCAAACCAAAGAAUGAGAGAUAGAACUUAUUCAAAUAAAAAGAAUAAAAGUAAAAGAACAUUAUUAUGCAAUCAGACAUUUCAUAGGAGACCCACAUUUAGAAUGAAUCAGGAUAUUGAAUUGUUUGAUACACUCGAGAUGGCUAAAUGUCCUCAAAUAAGUCCAUCAUAGUUUCAGUGCCUUCAUCAAUGUUAUGCUCUACUGCAUUUGUUUCACUAAAUCUGUUUCACUAAAUCAAACUGUAGGAUCAAAAAAUGCCAUCUACUCUAGAAGCUUCAUAACAUCUGAAACAUGUCAGCUUGUUCAGAAUAAAUUCUAAUGGAAAUGAAAAGUCUAAAUAGGUUUUCUAUUUCAAUUAUUAUGUUUGCAAUAAAUCAAUGGAAUUAAAUAUUAGGAACAAAGAAAUUUUUACCAUAUUAAUUUCAGGGUGUGUGAUAGCAUUAAAGAAUGUGGGUGAAAGUAAUGGUGGGGAUGGCAGUGAUUGGAAAAUUAUAUUGGGGAUUAGGGGUAGGAUGGGGGUGUGCUGCAGUGGUGGUCAUGAAAGAGGGUGUUGGUACUAGGAGAUCUGAUUUUCAUUUUGAUUAAUAUGAGUUUGGAUAUUUACUGUCAGUCCUGUGAAUUUUAUUAACUUUGAAAGCUAGGGAAUUAAAAAUCCUCACUUUUUAUAGGACUUCUAUAUCCUUGGUUUUAAAAUAGACAAAAUUUCAAUUUCAACUCUCAUUUCAUUACAGAGGAAUUAUUUAAAACUAUGGAAUCAGAAAUCCAAUUCCAUUGCUUAAUUGUUUCACAAACACAUAAAACAAGUGAUUUAAUUCUUCCCCUGAAAUGGGAGAGAGCAAAGUAACUAUAAGCUUCAGAAGCAUUACUACAUUUGGAUGCUCAAAUGGCAACUGCAGAAAAUACCAUUUUUAAAAUCAAAUGCAUUAUGUGUAGUAUACGUCUCUUUGACCUUCUGGCUGGUCCAGCCAAUAAGCAUUUUGUAGUACAUAUUAGCUUGAAUUGUCAAACCAGCAGAGAAGUAUAUAGGAACUUUUAGAUUCAUGCGUUCCCAGUAAUCAUCCAACAAAAUACAGAGUUCCUGAGCUCUUCCAAGUGCAAAGGUAGGAAUAAGCACCUUUCCACCAGCAGCAACACAUUUAUGAACCUCUAGUCUAGCUUGCCAAUGCCAAGUGCCAACCCAACAACAUAAAUCUAAACUGUGAUUAACCAGCCUCAAGGAUGGAUUCAUUAACAAAAAACAAGAAAGAAAAGCAUGCACACUUGCAAUUUGAUGUUAAGAAGUUGAAGCAACGAUGCCAACUCCAACCCUUGAAAAGAAAUACAACAAGAAUAAGAAAGAAAAUUAAUUUAAGAUAAUCAGAGAAGAAACAUUUAAGAAAUUCAUCUUAUCUCUCAAAUCCUCUAGCGAAUGUAAGAAUGGGACAUGAGUUGAUGCCAUUAACUAUUUAGGGCAUUAAAAAAGGUAGCAUUGCACAAAUACUAAGCAUUGAUCAGAUGCUAAGCAUUGAUACUGGAAGGAAUGAUCACAUAACUCUGCAACCCUAGUUAAACAAACAAAACUGUUUAAACAACCUUUGGAGCUAUCUAAAAACCAAAUUGUCAACUUCUGAAUUUAUAAUUUUAGUCUUUAAGAAAAGUGUCAUUAAACAAUUUAGGUAAAGAGCAAUACAACCAAUUGGAUAUCAAAUAUCUAUAGUCCUCAAUCAAUUUAUGAUUGAAAAGACACAAAAUCUUACUAUCAUGAGAAGUAUUGGAAAGGAAAUGAGGUGAACGGUGAAAUCUACAAAAAUAUAGAAUGUGUACAUGAUGGAGAAUUGACAGUUUGGUUUACAUACAACUUUAAGAAAUUCCCUCUCCCGAGCAUAUUUUGAAUCACGAAUAGUUGUUGCAUAUGUAGAUUCUGUUAUGAGAAGAUCUAGUUGCAAUCGAUCAAUUUGAGCGGCUCCAAGAUGUCUAUCUGGGGUCAUAUUAUAGUCCCCUGUGUAAACCAUAGCAGAGUCUCCCACCUUUGCAUAAAACAUUGCAGCUCCAAGAACCUUAAGGAAAAAAAAAAUUGAAAGAGGAUCAAAUGUUAACAUAAAACAAACCCAUAACAACAUAGGCUUCAUUCCCAGAAUACCACUGAUUUUUGGAUUGUUUAAAACGUUUUGGUACAAACAAUAUGGCGCAGGUUAUACCAAUUUUCCCAUCAAACAUGCGUCCAACAAGCAUAUCCAAGAAAACAGGUGACAACAUCUCCUAAUUGACUAUUAGUUCCUUGUUUACUCCCACUUUUUUUUUCUGAAAAUGUACCACCAAAUAGUUAUCAUAUUAAUUUCAUAGUAAAGUUAAUCCUCCUACAUCCACACCAACUAAUCAAGUAUUUUCAGGACAUAUCAAGGAUAUACCCUGGAAAAAGGCGCAAAAACAUGAGUAGCAAAACAAAUCUUCAAAUGUCAGCCUUACUGUUUCAAGCGAAGACUAUCAUCAAUCCCUACCGUAACAGAAAAAGUUCUUUCAUAAGAUUUCUUAGUUUUACAAAUAACUGUUGAUCUCCCACAAGUAUUUUACUCUUUAGUUUACACUGAAAAUAGACACAAGCUACCAGUCUCAAUUUGCUAGAUCAACAUUAGUUUAUCUAGAAAAUUUUAUGUUAACAAGUGCCUUAUUUCCUGGGGCUCGAGAGUUGACAACAGUACAAUUCAGACUGCCAAUGCAACUGGAACUAAGAAUUAUCUCAAAAAAUCACCACCCUCAAUUUCUGGGAUAAUGCAGAAACUUUAAAAUCACAACGUCUCCUCCGCUAGUGUCUAUGAGAAAACAAGAAGCACAAGAAACAUGUGUAACAAUUCCGCAGAAAAGUUAAUUCUAGUAUGAAUUAUAAUCUGGGAUGUUUUGCUGUGGUAGCUAAACAAUAAACAUGUUAUUUAACGCUAGGAUUCAACAAAAUAGUUUUUCUCUUUCCCUAGAAACAUUAAAAAACAAAAAUCCAGAAUAGGAUAUAACUAGCCAAUCUAAAUGGAACAAACUUCCUGUAAAAGGGUAUUUAUUUCUCAACCAUAUGGAAACAGGGGCUGCCAAUUGAAUAUGUGCCAUUAGAAAUUAAGUUAUCUUACAUGACCUGCAUAGUAGGCACGGAUCUGAAGAUCUUUAUCAACCUGCACUGUCUGCUUCAGGUCCACUGCUAUGACUUUCUUUAUGCAUGCAGAAAUAUGAUCAGCAGUAAAUUGCUCUUCCUCCCCCCUUCUAUCAACCAUUACUUUUCGAUAGUCCUCCAACAUCAAAGGAGCCAAUGCCUUUGUUGGAUACUGUAGUAAAACAACUUUACUAAAAACAUCAAAUUAAAAUCUAGAUUUCCAAUUCCAAUCACGAUAUUGGGAGCUUAUAUGUACAAGUUCUCUCAGACUAUCAGACAAGUCAAAAAAUAAAAAUCACAUGGUUAAAGAAAGAAACCAAAAAAAUCAAAGAGAAAAUGGGCAUAUCUCAUCAUGAAAUUGCGGGAAGAGUCAUUUUCCAUAUUCUCACAUAAAAAGUUAAAUUAGUCUAAGCACCAAAAUACUCCCAAUCCAGCAAACAAAAGUAGGGGGAAAAUCAAGAUGAACAUGAACUAAGAUCUAAAGAAAUAUAGUAACUUUGAAAAGAACCACCACAAAAACUCGUAUAUUACACAGACUCCCAAAACAAAAAAGAGCAAAACCAAGUUUCCACUUAUAUUUUACGUGGAACUCGGCCAUUUAAUGAGCAAACUUAUCACUGAAGUAAAAAAGAAAAAGCCUAGUAAGGUUACUUGACGCUUUAACAUGAAUAAGAUUUUAAUCACCCAAUUCCAACUCCAAAUAACAUCCAAUCCAAAAAGCCCAGACCAACGAGCAUCUUUCAAUAAUAAAUCCUUUACAUCGUGAAUCUAAAUUAUGAAUCAAACAUUUUAACUAGCACCUUAGAGACAUUACCGUCAUGUAAACCGGUCCAUUAUACCCACAAACUUCAGUGAAGUAAGGAAGAGCACCAACAUGAUCCAAAUGAAAAUGGGUGAUGAUAACGCAAUCGAGGGCACUAUCAAAAUCUCCAGAUGUAGAGAUAAGAGAGAAAUCAGGGUACCGACGGUGAUCAUCGUAGCCCAUGUGCAUCCCACAAUCGAACAUUAUUCGUUUGCCAUUGAUCGACACUACCACGCAGCUUUUCCCCACUUCCUGCCCAGCACCAAGGACCAGGCAUUCAAUGGCCAUGGUAUCCUAUCUCUGCGCAAUGAAAAGUUUAAAAACCCUAGCCUGUCAGUUCUUCGCGCGCUUCAGGGUACCUGCGAUGGAUUGCUUCUGUAAUGCGGGAAGGACGAGGGGCAGCGGAGUGCUUCUGUGAAACAGCAAGGUUGAGGGGCGGGCGACACUUUGCUUCUGCGCUGCGACGAGAUGGAGAGGCGGGGGAUUCUUCUGUGCAACGGCGAGAUUGAGGGGCAGAGAUAGACUGAGAGAGUGAGAGCGAAAAGCGGGAGGCGGCUUUCCAGUCUGCAGAAAGUCUAAAGAGACUAU
rnacentral:misc_RNA from 1 species